AACGAACGCUGGCGGCGUGCUUAACACAUGCAAGUCGAACGCGAACGGGACUUCGGUUCCUAGUAGAGUGGCGCACGGGUGAGUAACGCGUAGAUAACCUGUCUUCAUAUCCGGAAUAACACGCCGAAAGGGGUACUAAUACCGGAUAUUCUUGCAUUUCACAGGUAAGGCAAGGAAAGGUGGCCUCUGAUUCAAGCUACUGUAUGAAGAGGGGUCUGCGUACCAUUAGCUAGUAGGUGGGGUAAUGGCCUACCUAGGCGACGAUGGUUAGCGGGUCUGAGAGGAUGAUCCGCCACACUGGCACUGGAAUACGGGCCAGACUCCUACGGGAGGCAGCAGUGAGGAAUAUUGCGCAAUGGGGGCAACCCUGACGCAGCGACGCCGCGUGAGUGAGGAAGGUCUUCGGAUCGUAAAGCUCUGUCAAGAGGGAAGAAGUGCAAGGCAGCGAAUAACU
rnacentral:rRNA from 1 species